ensembl:snoRNA SNORA70 Small nucleolar RNA SNORA70
AACCAAAAUCUCCUGGUGUGCAGACAGCAGCUUCCUUGAUAGUGUAUGCAACCUGUUGCUUGUAUGGCUUGCCCUAAGAAACCUUGGAGACAGUC